rnacentral:lncRNA from 1 species
GCUUUAAGUCGACCCGGAUCCUAGCGCCGGUAGCGGUCCGAUUUUCGGGUCGUUACAGAAUGGUAUCAGAGCCCUAGGUUCAUAGGAUCGGACCUAGAGUGUCGGGCUCAUAGAUGUUAUAGAAGGUCAAGCACAAUAGGAAAGGUCAUGUCCACUAGGAUAGGAUGUGGAGUCCUGUCUUACAUGAUGAUGUGAAAUGCCAUGAUUAUAUACAUGUGCAUUGAUGCUAU